rnacentral:tRNA from 1 species
CGGAUGGAAAGGGGUGGCUAUGUCCGGUGUUUUUGCAUCGUCGCAGGUGAGAGGCAUCACCCUUAUGGGUUCGAGUCCCACCCGCCCCACCA